CCUCAUGCAGCUGCAUGCAAAAAAAUAAAAUCAGCUCGACCAUUAUGAGAUGAUAUGACAUUAAAUUGAAAUAAAUAAUUGUUUACUGAUUACUAUCACUUCAAAUUAUGUAAAACAUCAUCUUUAUGGAAGGUAGAUGUAGCAUAAUGCAACAGAUUCCUUGUUUUGUAUUUUGUUGCAGUGUACAAAGUAUACUAUAAGUAUUUUGAGAAUCCUUGUGUCACAUUCUUUGAGGUACUAUAAACAACAGCAUACAUGAAAAUAAAUUUUUUGAGCAUAGCCCCAUGUACUCUCAUCGGUGUGAACAUACCACAACCACAAAGAAAUUAUUCACCAAUAAAGAAAAUCAAAUUAAGUAAUCUCUAAUUCUCUACAGGUUUUAGUGCUUUACAUACCGAGGGAUCAAAUGGCUUUCCAACUGUUGCUACAGCAACCACCUGCAGGCUCCUCAUGAUCUCCACAAGCUGCUUGUAUAUACCUUGGUAACU
rnacentral:misc_RNA from 1 species